UACAGAGGUCCCGAGCGUUGUUCGGAUUCACUGGGCGUAAAGGGUGCGCAGGUGGGUUUGCAAGUUCGAUGUGAAAGCCCCGGGCUUAACCCGGGAAUGGCAUUGGAUACUGCAGAUCUGGAGGAUCGGAGGGGGACUGGAAUUCUUGGUGUAGCAGUGAAAUGCGUAGAUAUCAAGAGGAACACCAGUGGCGAAGGCGAGUCCCUGGACGAUACCUGACACUGAGGCACGAAAGCCGGGGAGCAAACAGGA
rnacentral:rRNA from 1 species